rnacentral:rRNA from 1 species
UCCGUAGGCGGGCGUCUAAGUCAGUGGUGAAAUCUUACAGCUCAACUGUAAAAUUGCCAUUGAUACUGGAUGUCUUGAAUUAGUGUGAAGUGGAUAGAAUGUGUAGUGUAGCGGUGAAAUGCAUAGAUAUUACACAGAAUACCAAUUGCGAAGGCAGAUCACUAACACUAUAUUGACGCUGAGGGACGAAAGCGUGGGGAGCGAACAGGAUUAGAUACCCUGGUAGUCC